CUUUGUCUUGUGGGACCUACUGCAGUGGAUCAGCAAUCGCCCAGAAGUUUCCCUUCCCGGGAUGGCAGCCACUCAGAGGGUUUAUAGGCUGCUGAGAGCUGAGCCCCUUGGUAGCUCUCUUGGAAGAGAACGUUUUUGUUUUGCUUCUGUCCUCCUCUUUGUUUCCACUUUGCUGAGAUGUGGAUCAAAGGAGGCCAAAAAUGUCCAUCUGUGCAGCAAACGUUUCCUCCUUUUCUCUGCUGGGCUGACCUGGUUCUGUGUCAAUAGAUUCAAACAACUGAAGAUAAGAAAAUUUUAUUAAGAAAGCUUAAAGCCAUACUGAACACAGAAUAUGUCUUUAUCUUUUAUAAAAUAAUGCAAAAUGGAUUUGAACAUCAUGGAAUCUGGUACCUGUGGGGGUCCGGAAACCAAUGCCCACGUCUACCAAGCAACUUUUCUUGCUUCACUGGACACAGUAUCAAGUGAUCAUCUAUUCAAUGUAUCUUGCUGGCUAAUAAAAAUGUACAACAUAAAAUACAUGUAAGGAAUGUUUUAUCAUAUUUUGCUGUAGUACUUGUGCCCUUCUUUCUUCCUGUGCUUCUUGGAAAUCAGUGGCUAUAAUUUUUUUUUUAGUGGGAAGGUCUCCUGCCUGUGGGA
rnacentral:lncRNA from 1 species